AACGUAGGUUCCGAGCGUUAUCCGGAUUUACUGGGCGUAAAGCGUGUUCAGGCGGCUCAGCAAGUCGGGCGUGAAAUCUCUCGGCUCAACCGGGAGGGGCUGUCCGAAACUGGUGGGCUUGAGGGCAGUAGAGGGUGGUGGAAUUCCGGGUGUAGUGGUGAAAUGCGUAGAUAUCAGGAGGAACACCGGCGGUGUAGACGGCUAUCUGGACAGUAACUGACGCUGAGACACGAAAGCGUGGGGAGCAAACAGG
rnacentral:rRNA from 1 species